rnacentral:misc_RNA from 1 species
AAGUAAUAAAGCUUUGGUCAAUCAAACAAUUUACAAAGAUCACACAAAGUACAGAUAACAAAUCCUAGCUACAGGAUAUCCAUUAACAAAUAAAGCAUAUCCCAAUACCAAUAUAGAAAAUGUAAUAGGAGAAGCAUAUUUGAUUCAAAAAGACAAUAGAGUUAUACAAACUUACAAUCAUAAAUUUGUUAAAUUGUCAUUCCAAUGGAUAUGGUGAAAAUUAUACUGAAGCUUAAUCACUCAUCAACAAAGCUCAACAAGUUCUUUUCCUUCAAAAUCUAACCCUCUUCUUAUUCUACCAUGAAGAAAGUACAGAGUCUGUAUGAAAGCUUGGUUUGAUCAAUUACCCGGAUCUAAUUCUCUUUUGAUUCCCCUUUCCAUUGGACUUCAAAAUCCCACUCGAUUCCCCUUCUGAUGAAGCGUCCAUUGACCUGGUGAAAUUGCUGGAAAGAUCGGCAUAAAGAUCAACCACCCUUCUAAUGUUAUUGUUAAGCUCUCUAAUCAACCCCACAUUUCGAGUCAAGUUAUCAGGAAUCUUUGAUUCGUGAUUUUGGUUUAUUUCAUUGAUUAGCAACCUGUUUUGAUCUAGAAUGUCCUGAACUUGCAUAAAAUUCUUUUGAACUGUUUGCAAAACCCUGCUAUCUACCUGGGUUCCAUUGCCUAUGCCAGAAAACAAAUCACCUUCCAUUUCAGCUUCACUUCAAUCAAUUAAACACAAUCCUUUUCCUGCAUAAAAAAUAACAGGGUUAUGUAGCAAAUAAGAGAAAAGACAGUAGGCAAGCUUUACUCAAUUUGCACUUUCAUGCGUCCCCAUUGUUUUAUCUUAUCUCUUUGUGCUUUUACAUUAAAAAAAUGUGGCUCAAAAAAGCCAAGGAAUCACUUAGCCAAUGUUUGGACAAAAAGAAAAGAGAGGCAGAGAAAUUAACAUUUCAAGCCUAAAAUUCAUUUUCUUGUGACGAUAGUAUCCAAAACAAGAAUUAAGCGAGUCUAAUCCAAUAGUUGAACCUUGGGGUGGGUGUUUUUCAUCCACUUUCUCGACAAACAAACAGAGGGGUCGAGGACAAUGUAAUAAGCGCAGAGGGAGACGAAAAAAGAAAAAGAAGCAUAAGAUUGCUUUAUGUCAAUUAAAAAGAAGGAGAAGAAGAAGAAGAAGGAGAAGAGAAGCAAUGGUGUUCAACAGCUUGAUAAUAGCGUCAGUUGCUCACAAAUCAGCCGACGCAUGGCAACAAAUAGCACGCAUUCAACUCCAGGACCGUCUAAGCAGCCACCAGCUUCUUGAUCUCAUCUGCUGCUUUCCUCUCCAGCAAUUGGGUAGUUUUGCUCUUUGGCUCUGGACUUUUCUCUGCCUUCCUCCUCCUGAUUCCUUCUACCCUUACUCUUAUUACUCCUCUUCUUCAGAAGACGAUGAUCAACCUUAUCUUACUCAUGCUUUAGCCUCUUCUUCUUCCUCUUCCACCUCCCUUGAUCUUGGUGACUACUACCAUGAUUCUCACUCUGAUUGAUUGACUGAUGAUGGAUCUUCCUUCUCCAGUUUCAGUCCUUUGUGUACAGUACUUGCCGAUGAAGUUAUCCUUUUGCCAUGUAUUAUAUUGUAGAAUUUGACUAAAAAAAAAGGACUGGGAAAGAUGGCUUCUGCACAGGCUUGGAUUUGAUGCUGGAUCACGGAAAAAUAUUUCUUGUCCAAGUAAGACAAUUUGAAGGAUCUAGGUUAUGUUUGGGCUUGUCUUCUAUGUAUACUCAUGGCUGCUAAUAGUGUUGAAUCUUUGUGGUUAAUUUCUGAAUUUUAGAGAUUCCAUUUUUCCUGUUGUGUGAUAUCAAUGUUUAGAGUUGAAUGCAUAACAAAAUAUUCACUUUGUGUACAAAAGUUGUUGGUACUUCUUGUUUCCCAUUUCUUUGCUUAAAUAAUUCUUAGAAUUAGCUGCUCAUGCUCAUUACCAAUUUGCAAAUGUGAUCUAGGUCUCAUUCCAUUUGCAUUUUUUUCCAGGAUCCUUCUUUUGGCUUAUCUGUAUUUCAUGGAUGCAUUAGAUCUUGUAUUUUUCAGUUAUGAUAUAAAAAGCAUAUGCGAGUUUGUUUUGGUGAAAGAAUAUGAAAGUACGAUUUGAAUUAUUGACUAAAAUCUUGAAUUUAUGUGCAUGAAUAGUCCUAAAUUGAAUUGUAACAAAAAUUGUUCUUAGGUAAUUAAAUUGCUUCAUACCAUAUUAGAGACUUGUGUUGCAAAUAAACUUAUUAAAUUGUUUGCACAUCCAUAAACUUUGUGAUCAAGAACCCUAGCUUUGAGUUUUCAAAAACAGAAAAAGAAAUAUGCAAUAACAAAUGGACAAAACAAACAUAUAUAUAUAUAUAUAUGAGUAAAUAAAGUAAUAAUUGACAUGCAUUAGGAGGAUCAAACAGUAGCUAAAUGAAUGAUAAAAGUAUUAAUAUCCAUAUCUUGAUUUCUUACCCAUUUUUUCUGAUCAUGUCAAUAUUGGCUUCCAUUGAAGAACCCUUAGAUCCUAAGCUUUCAGACCUGUUCCAAGCUGUACUUUCUCACUUGAAGACAUGCCAGGCCUUAAUGGUGAAAGAUGCCCAAACAUUAUGGCUGCAGGAGCAUUAAAUAAAAAAAUAAAAAAAGAUCUAGUUCUUCAUUUUGAUCUUGUGGUUAGGAACCAUCCACUUUCUGGGAUAAGGGUGAUCCACUAUCAGUUUCUUAGGCAAAUUGCUGAUGAGAAAGAGAUAGUAACCUCUGGAAAAGAGUCACAAAUAGGGUCGAUAGGAAUAUGCCUACUUUACUUGGAUGUUGUUUUUAGCAUCUUUAUGUGUCAUAGGGCUAUUCAGUCAUUCAGCGCACACAGAAAAAGAUAUUCUCAUUCUCUUUGCCAUGGUCGACAAAAGGAAUGCCACUGUGAUCUUUUGGCUUCAGUGGUUAUUAUGUAAUAAUCCUUUCUCAUUCAAUGCAUGAUUUUUGCUAACGCUGCCAACACUGUAAUAGUUCCACCUCCACUUCCACCAACAGCCAUCCUAUAGGAGAAUCAUAAUUUUCUUAGAUGACUUUCUACUUUGGCAAAUCAUAUGAAAGGACUGCUCAGAGCUGUUUACCUUGUGUUUUGGUGCAAUCAGCUUAUAGAGGAACCCACAACUUGUUUAAGAAUACAAUUCUGUGCUUGGUGACUGUCUCAUAUAACUCUUGCUGCAUCUUUUUAGCACAUUUACAAAAUGCUUAUUCAACUCAUCUCUUUCCUUUUUGUUUUUUUUGGCCAGUAGUUACUUGAUAAGCUAGAGCUAGGAGUAUAGAGGGAAAAUGUAGGUGAGGUGUUCUUUUCUAUUAUUUCUUUGGCAUCUCUAACUCAAAUCAUUGUCAAACUUUCCUUUUAGAGGGCAACAAAUGGAAGGCCUAGCCAGCAGCAAAAGUGUCCAUUCACUUCAUAUCCUUCCGAAAUUUGGAAUGUCUCUACCUUGGGCAACUGUGUUACUGUUUGACUCGAGCUCCCAAGGAAAAUUGGGCAUUUUGAGAUUAGAAGAUAUGCAAGCUUUGCGUAACUAACUCUAGCAAUGCUUACAGUUCAUGGGCAACAUUCUAUUCAUUUGUAUUUGUACUUUAUGGGAUGCCUUUUCUUGGGCCACAUAAUCUCUUUACAAAUCCAAAUGGAAAUAAUUUGGAUAAAUUACAAAAAGCCCCUGGACAUUAAGCAAAAUUCAUGCUUCAAUCCUCACUUUUCAAAAAUGAAUUAAAUAGUUCACAACUUUUUUUUUUUACUUUCUCUAUAUUUUAGUCCCUUCAAAAUCUCAUAUACCAGUUCUCUAAGUUUAUACUUAUAAUUAGUUUCAUUUUAGUCUGUGAGUUUUCAAGAGAAACAAUUCCUUAAUCCCAAAAGGUUAUAAGGUAAGUUACUAAAAUGUUUUUUUAACUGAAAGGUAAGCAAUUAAAAGAUUAUUUUACUUAGAUGGUGAGGGAGCAAAAAAUAAUGAAAGUAUAUUUUUGUUUUCAAAAUUCAAAUACUAUUUUAUUCGCUUUUCAAAAACUGAGGAUAUAAGUGUGAUUUUGACCAAUGUGAGGGGAUUUUUGUAAUUUACCUAAAGGAUUUUAGGCUCACUUGUCCUUUAAAAGCAUGAUUCAAUCCAUUUACAACAUAUU